rnacentral:lncRNA from 1 species
CUUCAUUUCCCGAGACCACUCAUUUCAUAACUGGGUGUGAGAAUCGGAAGUCAAAAGGACACUGGCAGGCAGACAGGCAGCACAAAGGGAAGAGGAAGAUGCUUACAGAGAUGCUCAACAGUCCUCAGAGACUCCUGCUGAGAAACAUCAAUAGUGUGCCUGCCAAGACAGCAGCCAAAGGAAGCAGCCAGGGCCGGCUAUAGACUCAAGCCAGAGAAAGCAGAGCCAAAGACAAUCUGGCUGAAGGAGGACAGAUGACAGGAAGAUGAAGCUGGUGAGUGUCCAACACCAGGAACAUUUAACCUUUUAUUAUCGUGGCAUGUGGCUUUCCUGUGGAGUUUUUUGUUUACUUAUUUUGAGACAGGGCUCCAAGUAACUCAGAUUGGUCGUGCACUCAAGACUUUGUGCAUGAUAGAUAAAUGUUCUGCCAACUGAGCUAACUCCAUAGCCCUUCCUGUGGAUUCUUCAAGACUCAGUUUUGACCCACAUUUAUAGAUGCCAAUUGAGGAC